rnacentral:rRNA from 1 species
AGUGAACGCUGGCGGUAGGCCUAACACAUGCAAGUCGAACGGCAGCGCAGUAAGAGCUUGCUCUUACGGGUUGCGAGUGGCGGACGGGUGAGGAAUACAUCGGAAUCUACUUUUUCGUGGGGGUUAACGUAGGGAAACUUACGCUAAUACCGCAUACGACCUACGGGUGAAAGCAGGGGAUCUUCGGACCUUGCGCGAUUGAAUGAGCCGAUGUCGGAUUAGCUAGUUGGCGGGGUAAAGGCCCACCAAGGCGACGAUCCGUAGCUGGUCUGAGAGGAUGGUCAGCGACACUGGAAGUGAGACACGGUCCAGACUCCUACGGGAGGCAGCAGUGGGGAAUAUUGGACAAUGGGCGCAAGCCUGAUCCAGCCAGACCGCGUGGGUGAAGAAGGCGUUCGGGUUGGAAAGCCCUUUUGUUGGGAAAGAAAAGCAGCAGGUUAAUACCACGCUGUUCUGACGGUACCCAAAGAAUAAGCACCGGCUAACUUCGUG